UUCACACUUCCUUAAGCCACAGAAAACUUGAACCAGGUGGUGUGGUCAUACUCCUCACCAGGCCUCAGCAGCACAGGAGGGAAGCGGGGCUGUGAAGGGGAAACAACACAGAAAGAUACAAUCUGAGAAGCAACCCUGCAGGACUUGGCUGAAAGUCAACAGGCGGCUGAUCAAAUGAAGCAAUAGAAGCUGUGUAAUUUGUCACAUCAAGCACCUGCGACAAACCCACGCACAAUCCGAGGAAUGCUGGAAAAACGCAAUGAUCUACUCUGGUGGAAUAUUACUGUUGGAAUCAUUUCCUUUCAAGGCUGAUGAAAACUUGGCAAGAAAUGCUGAUUCACAAACAGACCUUGAGGCCCAUCUCUGGGUUCAGUGUUUGUUUUGGUUAACUUUGCUUGGCUGCUACCUGUUUGUAACAUUAACCAUUUAUAGAGCCCAUUAUGAUUUGCAGGGGACUUUAAAGACAUUGUGCAAUAUCACUACCACAGCCUUAACUCAGCUCUCAUCACCUCUAGCAGGAGGGUACAGACACUGUGGGUUACUACCCACAAGCCAUGGCAACUCUUUUACCAGCAACUCUGUGCCCCCAGGCAGAAACUAGGCUUGUUGAUUUAUCCUAUGCUAGACCAGAUAUUCAGGGAAGAGGACCCACCCCCGCUCCAUUUCCAGAGGGCAAAUUUUGACUGGUCUAAGCCAAUCAUCAUGGCCUAAUUCCCUUGCUGGCGAUUGGGUUAGGCAGAGCAUAGGCCACACUUCUGGCCAAUGAGAAAUCAGAGAAAGUUGGCUGGAGGGCUUCUAGGAAAAGCAUUGCUUUUUCUUAAAAAGAGGACAUUAGAGAUAUGAAAAAUGGAAUGGGUCUUUUUGUCUCUGGAUGUGACUAUAUGAGGAGGUGAUUCCUGGAGCUGUGGCCAUGAGGGGACAAGCCUGAAGACAAAAGCCAAAAUACUGAGGAAGCAGAUGGAAAACUGGAAGAACCUGGGUCCUUAAUGACAUGUCUACCUGUCAUGUACCACAUGCUAUUGCUUUUCAUCUCGAAUUCCCCCAGACCUGCUUUCAUAACUCUUUCGGU
rnacentral:lncRNA from 10 species